AUGUUAUUAGUAGUAAUAUUAUUGUUGUUGUUAGUAGUAGCAGUAGGAUUGUGGUUGUUAUUAGUAGUAUUAUUGUGGCUGUUGAUGUUAUUAGUAGUAAUAUUGUUGUUGUUAGUAGUAGGAUUGUGGUUGUUAUUAGUAGUAUUAUUGUGGCUGUUGAUGUUAUUAGUAGUAAUAUUGUUGUUGUUAGUAGUAGGAUUGUGGUUGUUAUUAGUAGUAUUAUUGUGGCUGUUGAUGUUAUUAGUAGUAGUAUUGUUGUUGUUGUUGUUGUUAGUAGUAGCAGUAGGAUUGUGGUUGUUAUUAGUAGUAUUAUUGUGGCUGUUGAUGUUAUUAGUAGUAGUAUUGUUGUUGAUGUUGUUGAUAGUAGUAGUAGGAUUGUGGUUGUUAUUAGUAGUAUUAUUGUGGCUGUUGAUGUUAUUAGUAGUAGUAUUGUUGUUGUUAGCAGUAGGAUUGUGGUUGUUAUUAGUAGUAUUAUUGUGGCUGUUGAUGUUAUUAGUAGUAGUAGUGUUGUUGUUGUUAGUAGUAGUAGGAGGAUUGUGGUUGUUAUUAGUAGUAUUAUUGUGGCUGUUGAUGUUAUUAGUAGUAGUAUUGUUGUUGUUAGUAGUAGCAGUAGGAUUGUGGUUGUUAUUAGUAGUAUUAUUGUGGCUGUUGAUGUUAUUAGUAGUAGUAUUGUUGUUGUUGUUGUUAGCAGUAGGAUUGUGGUUGUUAUUAGUAGUAUUAUUGUGGCUGUUGAUGUUAUUAGUAGUAGUAGUGUUGUUGUUGUUAGUAGUAGUAGGAGGAUUGUGGUUGUUAUUAGUAGUAUUAUUGUGGCUGUUGAUGUUAUUAGUAGUAGUAUUGUUGUUGUUAGUAGUAGCAGUAGGAUUGUGGUUGUUAUUAGUAGUAUUGUUGUUGUUGUUAUUAGUAGUAGUAGGAGGAUUGUGGUUGUUAUUAGUAGUAUUAUUGUGGCUGUUGAUGUUAUUAGUAGUAGUAUUGUUGUUGUUAGUAGUAGGAUUGUGGUUGUUAUUAGUAGUAUUAUUGUGGCUGUUGAUGUUAUUAGUAGUAAUAUUGUUGUUGUUAGUAGUAGUAGUAGGAGCAUUGUGGUGGUUGAAUUUCCUCCCUGUCACUUUUUAA
ensembl:lncRNA